UACAGAGGUCUCAAGCGUUGUUCGGAUUCAUUGGGCGUAAAGGGUGCGUAGGUGGCGCUGUAAGUCGGGUGUGAAAUUUCGGAGCUUAACUCCGAAACUGCAUUCGAUACUGCGGUGCUUGAGGACUGGAGAGGAGACUGGAAUUCAUGGUGUAGCAGUGAAAUGCGUAGAGAUCAUGAGGAAGACCAGUGGCGAAGGCGGGUCUCUGGGACGUGACUGACGCUGAGACGCGAAAGCGUGGGGAGCAAACAGG
rnacentral:rRNA from 1 species